UCCGCCGAAUAACCAAGGGUUCCAGGGUCAAGCUAAUCUGCCCUGGGUAAGUCGGGACCUAAGGCGAGGCCGACAGGCGUAGUCGAUGGACAUCCGGUUGAUAUUCCGGAACCGGCGAAGGACCGCCCCUGGCGAGGCUGUGGAUGCUAACCGUGUGAUCAUCUUUGAUCGGCACUUUGUGUCGUGAUGAGUGUGUGAGCCCGGGACCCGAAGCAGUAGUAGCCAAGCGAUGGAGAGACGCAAGAAGGUAGCUGCAGCGUGGCGAUGGUAGUCCACGUCCAAGGGUGUAGGGCGACGUCUAGGCAAAUCCGGACGUCAUGUGCCUGAGACCUGAUAGUGACCGCGUAUGCGGGAAGUCAGUGAUCCUAUGUUGCCGAGAAAAUCUUCUAGCGAGGUUCUAGCCGCCCGUACCCCAAACCGACUCAGGUGGUUAGGUAGAGAAUACCAAGGCGAUCGAGUGAAUCGUGGUUAAGGAAUUCGGCAAAAUACCCCCCGUAACUUCGGGAGAAGGGGGGCCUGAUCCGUGAAACCACAUGCUGGUGGCAGCGGUGAUGGCCGCAGAGACCAGGGAGAAGCGACUGUUUACUAAAAACACAGGUCCGUGCGAAGUCGCAAGACGAUGUAUACGGACUGACGCCUGCCCGGUGCUGGAAGGUUAAGGGGACGAGUCAACCCGUAAGGGUGCAGCUCUGAACUUAAGCCCCAGUAAACGGCGGUGGUAACUAUAACCAUCCUAAGGUAGCGAAAUUCCUUGUCGGGUAAGUUCCGACCUGCACGAAUGGCGUAACGACUUCUCCACUGUCUCAACCACGAACUCGGCGAAAUUGCACUACGAGUAAAGAUGCUCGUUACGCGCAGCAGGACGGAAAGACCCCGGGACCUUUACUACAGCUUGGUAUUGGUAUUCGGUGCGGCUUGUGUAGGAUAGGUGGGAGACUGUGAAGCACACGCGCCAGCGUGUGUGGAGUCAUCGUUGAAAUACCACUCUGGUCGCUCUGGGUAUCUAACUUCGGUCCGUGAUCCGGAUCAGGGACAGUGCCUGGUGGGUAGUUUAACUGGGGCGGUUGCCUCCCAAAGGGUAACGGAGGCGCUCAAAGGUUCCCUCAGCCUGGUUGGUAAUCAGGUGUUGAGUGCAAGUGCACAAGGGAGCUUGACUGUGAGACGGACAUGUCGAGCAGGGACGAAAGUCGGAACUAGUGACCCGACGGUGGAUUGUGGAAUCGCCGUCGCUCAACGGAUAAAAGGUACCCCGGGGAUAACAGGCUGAUCCUGCCCAAGAGCUCAUAUCGACGGCAUGGUUUGGCACCUCGAUGUCGGCUCGUCGCAUCCUGGGGCUGGAGUAGGUCCCAAGGG
rnacentral:ncRNA from 1 species